UUCAUCUACUGAUACUGAGUCUGCAGUCAGAGGACUCCUCCCAUGUCACAGGCUAGGACUGGAUCUGCUGCUCAUAUGUUAAAUAAUGAAAGAAGAAGAAAUAGCAAGAAGACUUCAUGAGAAUACCUACACAAAUCAAACUUCCUAUGAAAUUAGUUAUGAAAGUACUUGAAUUGAGAGGGGGAAGUCUAAUGCUCACUAAUGUCUUGAGAAAAUCCCGGACAGAAAGUGGACUGACCCUCAGAUGACA